rnacentral:rRNA from 1 species
AUUGAACGCUGGCGGCAUGCCUUACACAUGCAAGUCGAACGGCAGCGGGCCUUCGGGUGCCGGCGAGUGGCGAACGGGUGAGUAAUGCAUCGGAACGUGCCAUUGAGUGGGGGAUAACGUAGCGAAAGUUGCGCUAAUACCGCAUAUUCUGUGAGCAGGAAAGCAGGGGACCGCAAGGCCUUGCGCUCUUUGAGCGGCCGAUGUCAGAUUAGCUAGUUGGUGAGGUAAAGGCUUACCAAGGCGACGAUCUGUAGCGGGUCUGAGAGGAUGAUCCGCCACACUGGAACUGAGACACGGUCCAGACUCCUACGGGAGGCAGCAGUGGGGAAUUUUGGACAAUGGGGGGCAACCCUGAUCCAGCCAUGCCGCGUGAGUGAAGAAGGCC